AAGUCGUAACAAGGUUUCCGUUGGUGAACCUGCGGAAGGAUCAUUAAAGAACGCCCCGUUUUUUACAAAUGGGUUCAAUACCCCCUAACCGUGUAUACCUUACCUUUGUUCGUCUUUGGCUGGGCCGGCCCUUGACGGCGUUGGCUUCCGGCUAACUGCGCCCGCCAGAGGACCCAAACUCGUUUGUUUAGUGAUGUCUGAGUACUAUAAAAUAUUUAAAA
rnacentral:misc_RNA from 1 species